rnacentral:rRNA from 1 species
GACAUAGGUGGCGAACGUUAUCCGGAAUUAUUGGGCGUAAAGGGUGCGUAGAUGGUAUAAUAAGUUAUCAGCGGUAAAUCGGGGCUCAACCUCGUGGAAGUCGGUAAUACUGUUAUACUCGAGUACAGGAGAGGUCAACGGAACUCCAUGUGGAGCGGUAAAAUGCGUAGAUAUAUGGAAGAACAUCAAUAACGGCGAAGGCAGUUAACUAUUCUGUUACUGACAUUGAGGCACGAAAGCGUGGGGAGCAAAAAGG